CUCAAAAUUUCGCCGCCCCAAUUUCCCCCCAAAAUCGAAAAUUUCAGGAAAAUCCAUCAAACCCCUCCUCUCCCCAAACCCAAACCCCAACCCCAACAUCCUCCUCUUGUUCCGUUCCAUCUCCUCCCUGAGCCCGUCCCAAAACCCUAGCAGCCUUAGCGGCCCCCCUCCCUCGACCUCCGCCGGGUUCAGCACCGACGACCAACUCUUCCUCCUCCGACGACUCUUCUGGCUUUUUUUCGAGGUUUUCUCCCCCUUGUCGCCUGAUCGCUGAGAUUCCUCCUCCAUUUGAGGAGGAGGAGGACAGGAAGGAGUCGGGGAGCGCGAAUUUUGAGCGAGGGCCUUUUGGAGCCUGGAAUUCGAAGUGAAAUCUUAACUAGUUCAGUUCACAUGCCGGAGCCUCGAGGAUUGGUUUCGCCUUCGAUUUCGUCUUCGACUUCUCGAUCUCUGCACUCUAUCUCUGUUAUUGAAAUUGUUUCAUAUGCUCACUGCUGUUAUUACAUUUGUGGAGUUCCUUGCAGUGUCAGUCAUUUGUUCCCUAUAUAUGAGAUUUAUUGUAUAGAAAAAAAAUUAUGUUUAUAGUUCUGAUAUUGUAUAUCUUGUUGUAUAUGCUCCACCAAGCUGGAGGUGUGUAACAUGCUAGCAAUUACUCUGGAUAUGGCAUUGCAGGUUAUUCUCUUGGACACUAGAUACCAUAGGGAUCCAUUUUUCAGCGAUGGAAGUAUAUUGGGUGAGACACAAUGGGAGUGGUUACAACAGGAAUUGAGUGGUGCUGGAUCAGAGAUUACCAUUAUAGCAUCUUCUAUUCAGAGAAAUGGAAUCUUCUUUAUCAGUGGUGAUGUUCACUUUGGAGAGAUUUGCACGUUAUGACUGUGGUACUGAUUAUCCUUUGUAUGACAUAACGUGAAGUGGACUUAGUCUGUCGAGAAUGUUGUGCCCCAGCCACUACCUUUCCUUAUUAGAGCUGCAGCAUGGUUGAUACCAUCUACUCUGAGAGUGUAUUCCCCAAAGUGCCGAUACAAAUCAUGCACGCUACUCAUAUUAGCGUCGGGGUUGAUGUUUGUAUGAGUUAUGAGAGGAGACUCUACUUCAAUCUCCCAAGAGUGCAGCAUGUUCUUCAUGCCAACAGAACAAAAUUGCCUUAUAGGAUGUCAAUGUGCAGUCAGCGAGUAUUCCUAUUUCUUGAAUUCAUAUGACCUUAUCCAUUAUUUUUUAUAACUAUUGUGCGUAAUGUUGUGCGAUAGAGCAUACAGAACCUCUUGUAAAUAAAUAAUGUAAAAGUUUGUAAACAAUUUAUGUAUCUCUCUACUAUUUUGAUGAAUGUAU